GACGAACGCUGGCGGCGUGCUUAACACAUGCAAGUCGAACGGAAAGGCCCUGCUUUUGUGGGGUGCUCGAGUGGCGAACGGGUGAGUAACACGUGAGUAACCUGCCCUUGACUUUGGGAUAACUUCAGGAAACUGGGGCUAAUACCGGAUAGGAGCUCCUGCUGCAUGGUGGGGGUUGGAAAGUUUCGGCGGUUGGGGAUGGACUCGCGGCUUAUCAGCUUGUUGGUGGGGUAGUGGCUUACCAAGGCUUUGACGGGUAGCCGGCCUGAGAGGGUGACCGGCGACAUGGGGACUGAGAGACGGACCAGAGGGGAACGGGAGGCAGCGGGGGGGAAUAUGGAACAAUGGGGGGAAGCCUGAGGCGGCAACGCCGGGUGCGGGAGGACGGGCUUCGGGUGGUAAACCGCUUUCGCCUGUGACGAAGCGUGAGUGACGGUAAUGGGUAAAGAAGCACCGGCUAACUACGUG
rnacentral:rRNA from 1 species